GUAGGAGCAGCCACAACAGUCGCCAGUGCUGCCUCAUCUACCGCCCUUCACGCCACCAUCCAUCCACCCGGUGAACUGGAGAGGCAGAUGAUGAGCGUCGCCUCGUAUCUUGGGGCUGGAUCCCGAUUCUGCCGCUCCACGGCAUGCCGUCCGCCUUUUCCUCCACCUUGUGUGGCUGCUCUGGUCAACCUCUUCCUCAUCGUAGGUGCUCAACAGGAGAAGCGCGAGCAGCCGGUGCAGCCGAGAGUUCGCCUGGUUGCAGCUCGACUUCAGGUAUACUAGAAGCUGAUGAGUCUCCAAUUCGUUGUUGUUCUUAAUGAUAUGAAAGUGCAACCGUGUUUUUUGCUACAAGCUGAUGCAUAAUACUUUGCUUGCAGCCAACAUCAGCCUUUGUUGCUGUUACUGUCCCAUUUUGAGAACCAAAGAAAUACUGCCUUUCAGCUAGAUGUGUGUUAGGUGAAUGCUGCAGGCCAUUUUGUUCAUUGGCCCGGCAUGAUUUGGAUUGCAUCACCUACAGAGGUCUGUGUGAUUGAUGAGCUGGCUUAGGAAGGCACAGUCGAUUAUUAUUGCCUAUUUCUCCAUUGAAAGCUGCUGCUACUUUCAUCUUGGAAGGUACUUGUGUGUACAAUGGAUACUUUUAUUGUGAUUUUUCUUCUUUGUCAUGGAGAGUUUGAAACUACUAUACAUAUUAGUCUUUUGCGAUUUCACUUUCCUAAGCUCGAGCCGCAGCGUUGGUCCACGACGCCGGCACCAUCGUCGUCCGUAGUAAGAGUGUGGGCUACAGAGACGUCCGGCUCCGUCCGGCUCUCGCGCCACUGUCUGUCCACCCGAGAGGUCAGUCCUCGCGUCCUAGCCUCCAUCCUCUCUUGCUGUCACACACACCCUCUCCUCCAUCCUCACGCAUGCCCUCAACAGAAGAGAAGAUGGAGCCGGCACGUGUUGCUGGUUCAGUUAAAAGAAGAAGGGCCUUUGUUGCCUGGAAAGCACUGCCGAGUCUUGCUGCCAUGUUUUCCUCUGUUCUUCUAAAUGGUUCAUUCUGUCCAAAGAAAUAAUAAGUUGUGUACGGUAUUAGUUCAAACUAUCCAAAGAAAAUGCUUAUUUAGUGCAUUCUGACCAAGGCUGGCAUGUAUACAGGGUUGGGGGCCAUUUUACUUGGUCAUCCAUUUCCUUAAGUAAAAGCUGCUCUUUUCUGUCAGAUAUUUGCUGUGUGGAUGACCGAUCAUGCAACUAUAUAGUAAGAUAGUGUUCUUGUUUUCUGUGACUGUAUAAAUGACGAAAUAAAUUAGUAACUAAGUGAUUCAUUCUGACGUUUUAGUAAAAUACACCAUGUAUGUCCUGUAAGUAAGUUAGGCUUCAAUGCGAUAUCGAUUUUUUGUAUUAGAAUCUGAUAUUUUAUCUGCAUGUGUAGCACUCAAAUUACGUUUUUCAUUUCUGUUUUCUUUUCAUUUAAGAUGUUACUUUGAGUUGCUAAAGUUGAUGUUUCUCAUUUCCAGUAGGAUAUGCAUUUGAUCCAGUCCAUGUCUUGGUCUCUUUUUGAAGUGUGUUUAGCCAUGUUCUUCCUACAUGUGUUCAAUCCAUCGGUAGCUAGCGGAUGUUGUGCUGUGACAAAGGUGCACUCCAGGAAAAAAUUAUUCUGCAAAGAAUCUUUAUCAACAAAGCGCAUAGGGAAGAUUGUCAGUGUCAGCGACCAAUUAUUUUGUUCAGCAGGUGUUCCCUUCAAAUGAGGCUCCAGCAAGGGGAUGCUAGCAGAUAUCAACCGGUUGGUUGAAUGUGUGCACAUUCUGUAAAGUCAACUUAAAGCUUCAGCAAGUGUGUUCAUUGUCCUCUCCAUUUCAAACAAACCAUCAGCUGGUUCUUUAAUAUUUUAUUACUUAAUCAUACUGUAGAAUUUGUUUCUUGGUGAUCUAAAACUUAUAGCCAUUAAGGGAAGCCCUUGGUUUGUAUUAGGUACUUGUGCCAUUGGGUGGAACUGUAUGAAAAAUAGUGAGAGAAUGCUGGUAGAAAUUAGCAGUAAUGUAAUUACAUAGAGAGAAGGUACUCACAUGUCACAUCAUAUUUCCCCAUGCUCCUCUUCAA